rnacentral:rRNA from 1 species
CCUACGGGAGGCUGCAGUAGGGAAUCUUCCACAAUGGGCGAAAGCCUGAUGGAGCAACGCCGCGUGGGUGAAGAAGGUCUUCGGAUCGUAAAACCCUGUUGUUAGAGAAGAAAGUGCGUGAGAGUAACUGUUCACGUUUCUACGGUAACUACCCAGAAAGCCACGGCUAACUACGUCCCAGCAGCCGCGGUAAUCCGUAGGUGGCAAGCGUUAUCCGGAUUUAUUGGGCGUAAAGGGAACGCAGGCGGUCUUUUAAGUCUGAUGUGAAAGCCUUCGGCUUAACCGGAGUAGUGCAUUGGAAACUGGGAGACUUGAGUGCAGAAGAGGAGAGUGGAACUCCAGGUGUAGCGGUGAAAUGCGUAGAUAUAGGGAAGAACACCAGUGGCGAAAGCGGCUCUCUGGUCUGUAACUGACGCUGAGGUUCGAAAGCGUGGGUAGCAAACAGGAUUAGAUACCCUUGUAGUC